rnacentral:rRNA from 1 species
UACAGAGGGGGCAAGCGUUGUUCGGAAUUACUGGGCGUAAAGGGCGCGUAGGCGGCCUUCUAAGUCGAACGUGAAAUCCCCGGGCUCAACCCGGGAACUGCGUCCGAGACUGGAAGGCUCGAAUCCGGGAGAGGGAUGUGGAAUUCCAGGUGUAGCGGUGAAAUGCGUAGAUAUCUGGAGGAACAUCGGUGGCGAAGGCGGCAUCCUGGACCGGUAUUGACGCUGAGGCGCGAAAGCGUGGGAGCGAACAGGA